rnacentral:rRNA from 1 species
AUGAUCUGGCAUAUACAAAAUGAAAACUUCAUUCUUGAUUCUACGAGGAUUUUUAUGAAAGCGUUUCAUUUGCUUGUCUUUAAUGGAAGUUUCUUCCCAGAAUGUAUCCUAAUUUUUGGCCUAAUUCUUCUUCCGAUGAUCGAUUCAACCUCUGAUAAAAAAGAUAGGAGAAAAAAAAAGCUUAUGAUAAGCAUCUAUUGGAGUGGCCUUGCCUUACUUAAGGAUGUUUAUUAA